GUUUUGUUUUGUUUUGAAUCCUCUUUUAAAACAUGUUUUGCAUAAUUCUUUACAUUAGCUGGAAGAGGCUGUGGAAAAACAGUUCAGCAGUGGUCAUAAGAUGAGGCUUGCUACGAGCAAUUUCCUUACUGUGCCGGUCCUAAAGGUCAAUCAUAGAUGACACAUUUUCCAAGGAGGAAGUAACAGACUCACUGGCUGGCAGACGUGCAAGAUAAACGGGCAAAGUGCAGGGGCUCUUUGGAAGUGAAUCAGCACUCCAGCCUGUUUCCUGCCAGGGACUGAAUCCUACAAUCACUGUGCCCAAUGGAAUGUCUCCUCAGAAGCUGCUUUUGGCCAUGGAGUGGGACGGGAGACGUAUCUGCUCUUCUGAUCCAUAUUUGCUGCCCUUCUUGUUUGCAAAAGAAAGAAAGAAAGAAAGAAAGAAAGAAAGAAAGAAAGAAAGAAAGAAAGAAAGUGAUAAUUUUAUUCAUGUACCUCAUUUGCAAAACGCAAUUUGGUUCAGUCAUAACACCAGUCUAUCAAGCAUGGUACCUUGAUUGCAGAAUCAUUUGAAAUCAAGCUCAUUUUCAGAAAAGGAGCCUACAUAAAUGCAUAAAGAUGUCUGUUUGUAAUAGCAUGUGCUUUCUCUCACCUCUGUAGCUUGCAUUUCAAUUACAUGUCGCAAUACUCCUGUUUUUGCUUCAGGUUUGGCAUGUUUGAAAGCAAUUUAAAAACCUCCAGUUACAUGACAUCUAGCUAACCAUGCAUUUUUUUCAGCUGUGAAAUGAGGUUUUAAAAAUAUGUGUGUAGGGGAGGGGUGGUAUUUUAAAUAAAUUCUGGUCACACUUCUUUUUCA
rnacentral:lncRNA from 1 species